AGCUCCAAUAGCGUAUAUUAAAGUUGUUGCAGUUAAAAAGCUCGUAGUCGGAUUUCGGGUCGGGCCGAGCGGUCUGCCGAUGGGUAUGCACUGUUUGGCGCGGCCUUCUUUCCGGAGACCGCGGCUACUCUUAACUGAGCGGGCGUGGGAGACGGAUCGUUUACUUUGAAAAAAUCAGAGUGUUUCAAGCAGGCAGCUCGCUCUUGCAUGGAUUAGCAUGGGCCUACCCAUCUUUACUUUUUUUCGAUAAUUGAAUAGGAUAAUUGAAUAGGACUCUGGUGCUAUUUUGUUGGUUUCGAACACCGGAGUAAUGAUUAACAGGGACAGUCAGGGGCACUCGUAUUCCGUCGAGAGAGGUGAAAUUCUCAGACCAAUGGAAGACGAACCACUGCGAAAGCAUUUGCCAGGGAUGUUUUCA
rnacentral:rRNA from 1 species